rnacentral:rRNA from 1 species
UACGGGGGGGGCAAGCGUUGUUCGGAAUUACUGGGCGUAAAGGGCUCGUAGGCGGCCAACUAAGUCGGAUGUGAAAUCCCCAGGCUCAACCUGGGAACUGCAUCCGAUACUGGAUGGCUUGAAUCCGGGAGAGGGAUGCAGAAUUCCAGGUGUAGCGGUGAAAUGCGCAGAUAUCAGGAAGAACACCCGUGGCGAAGGCGGUUCUCUGGGACGGUACUGACGCUGAGGCGCGAAAGCGUGGGGAU